GACGAACGCUGGCGGCGUGCUUAACACAUGCAAGUCGAACGGAAAGGCCCUGCUUUUGUGUGGUGCUCGAGUGGCGAACGGGUGAGUAACACGUGAGUAACCUGCCCUUGACUUUGGGAUAACUUCAGGAAACUGGGGCUAAUACCGGAUAGGAGCUCCUGCUGCAUGUGGGGGGUUGGAAAGUUUCGGCGGUUGGGGAUGGACUCGCGGCUUAUCAGCUUGUUGGUGGGGUAGGGGAUUACCAAGGCUUUGACGGGAAGCCGGCAUGAGAGGGUGACCGGCCACAUUGGGACUGAGAUACGGCCCAGACUCCUACGGGAGGCAGCAGUGGGGAAUAUUGCACAAUGGGCGGAAGUCUGAUGCAGCAACGCCGCGUGCGGGAUGACGGCCUUCGGGUUGUAAACCGCUUUCGCCUGUGACGAAGCGUGAGUGACGGUAAUGGGUAAAGAAGCACCGGCUAACUACGUG
rnacentral:rRNA from 1 species